rnacentral:rRNA from 1 species
GCGUUUGCUUGAAAUGUAUUGGCAUGAGUGGUACUAGAUAGUGCUGAACUGUUUCAAUGUAUUAGGUUUAUCCAACUCGUUGACCAGUAUAGUAUUUGUUUAUUACACAGGCUCGGCCUUACAACAACAAACAAAGUUUGACCUCAAAUCAGGUAGGACUACCCGCUGAACUUAAGCAUAUCAAUAAGCGGAGGAAAAGAAACCAACAGGGAUUGCCUCAGUAACGGCGAGUGAAGCGGCAAAAGCUCAAAUUUGAAAUCUAGCACUUUCAGUGUUCGAGUUGUAAUUUGAAGAAGGUAACUUUGGUUUUGGCUCUUGUCUAUGUUCCUUGGAACAGGACGUCACAGAGGGUGAGAAUCCCGUGCGAUGAGAUGCCCAAUUCCAUGUAAAGUGCUUUCGAAGAGUCGAGUUGUUUGGGAAUGCAGCUCUAAGUGGGUGGUAAAUUCCAUCUAAAGCUAAAUAUUGGCGAGAGACCGAUAGCGAACAAGUACAGUGAUGGAAAGAUGAAAAGAACUUUGAAAAGAGAGUGAAAAAGUACGUGAAAUUGUUGAAAGGGAAGGGCUUGAGAUCAGACUUGGUAUUUUGCGUUCCCUUCCUUUUUGGUUGGGUUCCUCGCAGUUUACUGGGCCAGCAUCGGUUUGGAUGGUAGGAUAAUGACAUUGGAAUGUAGCUUUA